CUACUACCGAUUGAAUGGCUUAGUGAGCUCCAGGGAUUGUUGUAUUUGAUUAGGUUCGCCUUUCUUGUACAUCCGAGAACUGAAUCAAACUUGAUCAUUUAGAGGAAGUAAAAGUCGUAACAAGGUC
rnacentral:rRNA from 1 species